rnacentral:rRNA from 1 species
CAGUCGCCACGGUAAAACGUAGGGUGCAAGCGUUAAUCGGAAUUACUGGGCGUAAAGCGUGCGCAGGCGGUUAUAUAAGACAGAUGUGAAAUCCCCGGGCUCAACCUGGGAACUGCAUUUGUGACUGUAUAGCUAGAGUACGGCAGAGGGGGAUGAAAUUCCGCGUGUAGCAGUGAAAUGCGUAGAUAUGCGGAGGAACACCGAUGGCGAAGGCAAUCCCCUGGGCCUGUACUGACGCUCAUGCACGAAAGCGUGGGGAGCAAACAGGAUUAGAUACCCGUGUAGUCCCUGUCUCUUAUAA